UAUCGUUCAAUUAUCUAUGAUUGCAUCUGCAUCAUUUAGAAAGAUUUGCAAUUGAAACUUCCAAAUGAUUUUCUGAUGAAAAGUGUUUUAGUGUUUACUAUCUAUAGAUGUUCGAGGACCCAACUCGAAUCUGCCAAGUAGUCUUGAGUCUAAAGAUUAGGCAUUAUAGUGUCCAACUAAGAAAAGGUUAAUUAUAUCACAUGCUGCCCCUAUAUGUUAUGUAGAAAUGUUCAGUUGAUCACCAUCAUAGUAACAAAAUAUGACUCAUGAGUGUUGUCAAGUCUCUGUUUUGAGUUUACUAUUUGUUGCAGCUUUAUUAGAUCUCAACUUGUAGCUUUAGGAUCGCAGGGGAAGUCGUGAAGUUUUGAGCUACUCGUGUAAAGUACCUUUGCUUGGUAGUUUCUUGUUUAGCAAAUGCAAGCUAUUUGGUGACCCAUUCAUGUGUUCAACAUUUGAGUUGCCUUGUUGGUGAUAUACACAUAAUAUUUACUAUGUGGAAGCUACAGGAUAUGAUACUCUCUAGGUUUGAGGACUAGCUCCACUUACGCUUUUGAGUCCAGUGGAUGUAUGAUACCCAUUUUGUGGUCCAAAAAGAAUGAGAUUUGGUGGACGCUCUAGAGGCCAAAUUCAUGUGGCGUCCUUCACUCUAUAUCUCCAGAGCUGAAAAGCCUUCAGAUAGCAUGAAACUUGCAUCGAUAACUUUUGGAGGAAAAGCAUAUUGCUUAUUGUGGCUCAAUUCUAGAGAUCGAGGAAAGAAAAGUAUAUUGCUUUUUAGUUUUCAUUAUUUAUCAGUUUUCCGUGGUUGCUAAUAGUUUACUUCUUUCAUAUUUACGGAAAGCCUAUUUCCUUGCAAAGAGUGAGAAGGGACCAUAUAAAGCUUGUAGCUGUACGUAUUGUGCGGAUUCUCCACUUCCAUGGCUUUGAGAAUCUGAGGAAAAGUGCAAAAAGUGCAGUGUGACCUUCAGCUAAAGGUUUAUAUGCAUGUGGUGCAACAUGAUCAAACCAGAUCACUGACUACCUUUUCUGGUGGUCUGAGAACUUGCUGCAGUGAACACUUCUGGCUUCAGUGAAUGAAUGAGAACCGUUUAUGUGGUCUAACAACAACAUAUUCUACAACACACUGGGGUGUAUGAAAAAUGUAUCGGGGCGGCAUAAGUGGAAUCAUUUAUCUUCGACGUGUUCAAGUGAUGUGGAAAGUGUCACCAAUAAAGGAAUCAGUAGUUACUUUGGUACCUGUGGUAUCGUGUUAACUGUUCUUGGUACAACUUGCUCAGGUCGGUCAAGCUGACGUGAGAAACGGUGGAGAUCUUAAGAGCCAAUUGGAAUCUGCCAAGUAACUUCCAGUCUUAGAGAUUAGGAAGAACAUGAGCCACAAGUUGAAGCAAAUGGUGGGUCAGUCAAAAGAUGAAUAAGGUUGGUUAUAUCAACAUCACCGAUGGUCUAUCUAUACAAACCCAAUUUGCAUAUGAUCACCAUCAUAUUCAUAGUAACAAAACAUGCACGAGUCCAUCAGCGUUGGUCACAUCUCUAUCACCUUUUGAGAAAUAUGAUAAAACUCGAUAUUAUCUAGAUUUUAGCUGUAUUAGAUUUCAAACUUGUGGAAUUAAUCACAUUGAUGUGUUUAAAUCUACACGGGUCAAAUAAAUUUUGGUGGAUGACGAUGCAAAUAACAAUUUCAGAAGUUAACGGCAUUGAAUCACAAACACGAAACAAAACACACAAUUGUUUUCAUUAGUUAGUUAAUUAAUUAUCUUUAGGGUCUUAAGACCAAACAAAACAUAAGACUAGGACUAGGAGUUUGCAAUCUGACUGACACUUUUGAGUAACAUAGAUAAGCUAUUUCGCUCUUGUUGAUUAAAAUUCUGAGUUACAAGGGAAUAGGUUUUAUCUUCAAGCACAUCAGAGGUAAAGAAUUUCAGAUAAUUACAGAAACAAAUCAAACUACAGAAAGUAAAAAAAAAAAAAAA